rnacentral:rRNA from 1 species
UUGGUGAGGUAACGGCUCACCAAGCCGACGACGGGUAGGGGGCGUGAGAGCGUGGCCCCCCACACGGGAACUGAGACACGGUCCCGACGCCUACGGGCGGCAGCAGUGAGGAAUCUUGCCCAAUGGGGGAAACCCUGAGGCAGCGACACCGCGUGCGGGAUGAAGGCCUUCGGGUCGUAAACCGCUUUUCUGGGGGACGAGUAAGGACGGUACUCCAGGAAUAAGUCCCGGCUAACUACGUGCCAGCAGCCGCGGUAAAACGUAGGGGGCGAGCGUUAUCCGGAAUCACUGGGCGUAAAGGGCGUCUAGGCGGCAGCCUAAGUCCCGUGUGAAAGCUCCCGGCUCAACUGGGAGAAGGCAUGGGAGACUGGGCAGCUAGAGACUCGGAGGGGGGUGUGGAAUUCCCGGUGGAGUGGUGGAAUGCGUUGAGAUCGGGAGGAACACCAGUAGCGAAGGCGGCACCCUGGCCGAGAUCUGACGCUGAAGCGCGAGAGCGUGGGGAGCGAACGGGAUUAGAUACCCCGGUAGUCCACGCCGUAAACGAUGACAACUAGGUGUUGGGUGUCCAAGGAUGCUCAGUACCGCAGCAAACGCGAUAAG